UACGGGGGGGAGCAAGCGUUGUUCGGAUUUACUGGGCGUAAAGGGCGCGUAGGCGGCGCAACAAGUCACUUGUGAAAUCUCCGGGCUUAACCCGGAGCGGUCAAGUGAUACUGUCGUGCUAGAGUGCGGAAGGGGCUACUGGAAUUCUCGGUGUAGCGGUGAAAUGCGUAGAUAUCGAGAGGAACACCUGCGGCGAAGGCGGGUAGCUGGGCCGACACUGACGCUGAUGCGCGAAAGCGUGGGGAGCGAUCCGG
rnacentral:rRNA from 1 species